rnacentral:lncRNA from 1 species
GUCAUAUGUCAGUUUAAUUCUCAGGACUAGUGAAAAAAACCUUAAGAGGGUAGAGGUAAAAUGCUGCCUCCUCUCCAUGGUCCUUUAUUUCUUCCCAUGGCAGCCCAGGUGAUCUGAUUAUUACCCAGAGAUCUGAUUAAGACAGAGGUCAAAUGUAAUGCUCUAGUGACUCCUUAAACUUAAUGUUGAAUUCCUUACCAAUUAUCUUGACUUGUAAGGCCAUGGUGGUCCGAUGUCUCCCUCCAUCUCUCAGCCUCACCCUGUCCUCACCCUCCCUCACUCUACUUCUCCAUCAUUGCUAACUCCUUUCCAACCCUUCCAAUCUCUUCUUUCCCUCCUGCCUGGAACACUUUGCACUGGCUCUUCCGUCUUCCUUAAAUUCCUUUCCUUGCAUUGUCUUUCAUUACCCAUGGUCCCACUGAAUUUACUCGAGCUCAAGUUGAUAUAAAGUGUUUAGGAAUAAUACUGAAUGUUUUUCCCCAUAUUUUUUCUCAAAAGGAGGAUACCCACUAAAUAUACAGUGUCAGGAAACAUUUGAUUAAGAGUCAGCUGCAGUAAAUUAGCCACAUUCCAUUUUUCUUAGGUAAAAACUGAAUGUUGCUGAUUUUUAAAAUAGUAUCUGAGAGUAGUUUUCAGAUAAAAGGCACACAUAUUCAUGGGUAUUCCACCACAGGUAGUCAAAAGUAGUCCAACUGCUUUUCAUAUUCCAAUGGAAGAAAAUGGCAGCAGCAGUUUGAAAUCAUCAAGGAACUAAUCAAUCUAUCACCUUUAGGCACCUCCGAUGUAUGUACUAUUGCAAACGUGUCAAGACUUCUGUGAGUCAGCCCCAGAAAUUAUUUUUUGAGCUAUUGAAUUGCAAUGUCAGUUGUCCCAUACAACUGGCAUUUCAACCCAAUUAAAUCCUGUAAGAUAAGAUGUCAAGACAGAAGUGCGUGCUCAGAAUAGGGGUGUGUGUUAAAAGACAUUGAGGUCCUAAGGGACCUUGUCUCCCUCUAAACCUGUGAAAUUCUCCGCAUGGUGUCUCCAUUUCUGGAGAACCAGAUGCCUCCCUUAAGAGUGUGUGUGUGUGUGUGUAUGCGUGUGUGUGUGUAUUGUGG